GAGUUUGAUCCUGGCUCAGAUUGAACGCUGGCGGCAUGCCUUACACAUGCAAGUCGAACGGCAGCACGGGAGCUUGCUCCUGGUGGCGAGUGGCGAACGGGUGAGUAAUGCAUCGGAACGUAUCCUGGAGUGGGGGAUAACGUAGCGAAAGUUACGCUAAUACCGCAUAUUCUGUGAGCAGGAAAGCGGGGACCUUCGGGCCUCGCGCUCUUGGAGCGGCCGAUGUCGGAUUAGCUAGUUGGUGAGGUAAAGGCUCACCAAGGCGACGAUCCGUAGCAGGUCUGAGAGGAUGAUCUGCCACACUGGAACUGAGACACGGUCCAGACUCC
rnacentral:rRNA from 1 species